GUCCACAGUCUGGAUUCUGCACCGCGGUGCCUGAACCUCGACCGGCUGCGCCAAGUCCACAUGGGCUGGUUUGAGUCGGUUCACCGUGAAAACCUCCUCUUUCCCCCCAAUGUCCAGAACAUGACACGACUUUGAUCGACCUUAUUUCUAGUGGUGACGAGACAGCCUACUGAGGAGAGGUUGACACUGUGACGUCAGGAUAACAACCUCUCCCUCAAUGUCCGAAAAAACAAAAGAGCUGAUUGUGGAUAACAGGAGGAACAGAGACAGGCUUGCCCUGAUCAACGUCAAUGAGUCUGCAGUUGCAAUGCUUCCAACCCAACAAAUGAAUGGCAUGGUGUUGUCUCUGCUGGUACUUCUCUGAAUCCAAAGUACAACUGAAGAGUUGCCUGUCAAAGGGAAUG